GAGCUGUUUAAAAAUUGCAAGAGGUGCUACAAUGGAGAUAAAAUAAGGAUUUUCAAAUGCUUGCUUCCAGCAGCCGUCAACCAAAAGAUCUGUGGCGUUAAGGAUAUCAAGGAAGAAUAUCCCGGAGCAAACGAAGAAGAAACCAAUAAUAUUCAAGCUGUGUAAAUUGUUGUAAUAAAAUUGUGUCAGCUUGUA